UUGACAUGCAGAGAACUUUCCAGAGAUGGAUUGGUGCCUUCGGGAACUCUGACACAGGUGCUGCAUGGCUGUCGUCAGCUCGUGUCGUGGGAUGUUGGGUUAAGUCCCGUAACGAGCGCAACCCUUGUCCUUAGUUACCAGCACGUUAUGGUGGGCACUCUAAGGAGACUGCCGGUGACAAACCGGAGGAAGGUGGGGAUGACGUCAAGUCAUCAUGGCCCUUACGGCCUGGGCUACACACGUGCUACAAUGGUCGGUACAAAGGGUUGCCAAGCCGCGAGGUGGAGCUAAUCCCAUAAAACCGAUCGUAGUCCGGAUCGCAGUCUGCAACUCGACUGCGUGAAGUCGGAAUCGCUAGUAAUCGUGAAUCAGAAUGUCACGGUGAAUACGUUCCCGGGCCUU
rnacentral:rRNA from 1 species